rnacentral:tRNA from 1 species
GGGGUUGUGGCUCAGUAGUAGAGUGCUCGCCUAGCAUGUGUGAGGCCCUGGGUUCAAUCUUCAGCACUCCA